rnacentral:rRNA from 1 species
AUUGAACGCUGGCGGCAGGCUUAACACAUGCAAGUCGAGCGGAGCGGCGGACGGGUGAGUAAUGCUUAGGAAUCUGCCUGGUAGUGGGGGACAACAUCCGGAAAGGGGUGCUAAUACCGCAUACCAUCAGAUGUGCCUAGGUGGGAUUAGCUAGUUGGUGGGGUAACGGCUUACCUAGGCGACGAUCCCUAGCUGGUCUGAGAGGAUGACCAGGCACACUGGAACUGAGACACGGUCCAGACUCCUACGGGAGGCAGCAGUGGGGAAUAUUGGACAAUGGGCGAAAGCCUGAUCCAGCCAUGCCGCGUGUGUGAAGAAGGCCUUCGGGUUGUAAAGCACUUUAAGCGGGGAGGCGUUACCCGCAGAAGAAGCACCGGCUAACUUCGUGCCAGCAGCCGCGGUAAUUC